rnacentral:tRNA from 1 species
GUCGAUCUGUAUCAAUACCUUGGCACAUCAUUCGUAAUGAUGGGGUCGCGUGUUCGAGUCACGCAAGCGGCACCA